rnacentral:rRNA from 1 species
GACGUAGGGGGCAAGCGUUGUCCGGAUUUAUUGGGCGUAAAGAGCGUGUAGGCGGCCAUGCAGGUCAGCUGUGAAAACUCGAGGCUCAACCUCGAGACGUCGGUUGAAACCGUAUGGCUAGAGUCCGGAAGAGGAGAGUGGAAUUCCCGGUGUAGCGGUGAAAUGCGCAGAUAUCGGGAAGAACACCUAUGGCGAAGGCAGCUCUCUGGGACGGUACUGACGCUGAGACGCGAAAGCGUGGGGAGCAAACAGG